CCUACGGGAGGCAGCAGUGGGGAAUUUUGGACAAUGGACGCAAGUCUGAUCCAGCCAUUCCGCGUGCAGGACGAAGGCCUUCGGGUUGUAAACUGCUUUUGUACGGAACGAAAAAGCUCUUAUUAAUACUAGGAGUCCAUGACGGUACCGUAAGAAUAAGCACCGGCUAACUACGUGCCAGCAGCCGCGGUAAUACGUAGGGUGCAAGCGUUAAUCGGAAUUACUGGGCGUAAAGCGUGCGCAGGCGGUUAUAUAAGACAGAUGUGAAAUCCCCGAGCUUAACUUGGGAACUGCAUUUGUGACUGUAUAGCUAGAGUACGGCAGAGGGGGAUGGAAUUCCGCGUGUAGCAGUGAAAUGCGUAGAUAUGCGGAGGAACACCGAUGGCGAAGGCAAUCCCCUGGGCCUGUACUGACGCUCAUGCACGAAAGCGUGGGGAGCAAACAGGAUUAGAUACCCUGGUAGUCCACGCCCUAAACGAUGUCAACUGGUUGUUGGGUCUUCACUGACUCAGUAACGAAGCUAACGCGUGAAGUUGACCGCCUGGGGAGUAACGGCCGCGAAGGUUGAAACUUCAAAGGAAUUGACGGCUGGAGACGNGNGAGGACGACGACGAGGGAGGAGG
rnacentral:rRNA from 1 species